UUGGCAUGCUGACUGUAGGAAUGUUCACCAGAGCUGUUGACAGUUGGAAGGAUCCCAAUAAUGAAUUCAAGAAGACUCUGAAGCUCAGUGGAGUUCCCACUCUGAUCCGAUAUGGCACGCCUCAGAAGCUGGUUGAGGAGGAGUGCUUCAAAGCUGACCUGGUGAGGAUGAUGUUCACUGAGGACUAGAGGGACAGAGGACCACACUCGCCCUGCACUUGGUCAUCUUCCAUUUCGCCCUCUCCUGAGAUCCAGUCCCAGCCCAAUCACCUUUUCACUACACUUGAUUGAAUUGAUUGUUUCUUUGGAAUUCAAAUACACACUCCUCUCCCUGCGAGUCAGUGUCAAUCAGUGAAUGUGUUGCUAUUCUUACAUGGAAAUAAAAAGCAACUAUAACAUAACCAGAGGCCUUGGUAGAGCUAGCUGACUGCUUUUAGAACUUGAUGUUUAAUUUAGUAAAUUAAAUAGAAGAGUUAUAAAAACAUAGCCCACUUUUGACAAAUAAAUUAGAUUCCCAUAAGUGGUAGGCAGCCUACUCCUAGAAUGUGUUGGGCCAGACAAAUUGUGUCAAAUGAAUUGAAUCUCAUCAAUUGAUGAUUCUUGUUUCUUACUUACGGCAGUAAUCUAUAGAGUGAAGAUAUAAACUGAAGCAUUACCUGGUAUACUGUGAUUGUUAUAGUGUAUAACUUAGUCAAAUGAAAAUAAAUGAUGGCUGGAUGAAAACA